CUUAAUUUAACUCAACACGGGAAACCUCACCUGGCCCGGACACGGAAAGGAUUGACAGAUUGAUAGCUCUUUCUUGAUUCUGUGGGUGGUGGUGCAUGGCCGUUCUAAGUUGGUGGAGCAAUUUGUCUGGUUAAUCCCGAUAACGAACGAGACUCCGGCGUGCUAACUAGCUCUAGUGGUUGGCCCCGGAUAACCAGCCUUGGUUGGUGAGUAGAGCCGUUCGUGACAGGACUGGGGCGUGGCCGCAUGAUGGUCGCCCCUCUCCUAUCUCGCACUGCAUGUUUGUGGAGAACCUGGUGCUAAAUCACUUGCAGACGACCUGAUUCUGGGUUG
rnacentral:ncRNA from 1 species